GGUCUAUUGGCCCAAUGGCAAGGUGUCUGACUACGAAUCAGGACCUAGAUUGCAGGUUCGACCCGUGCAUAGAUCG
rnacentral:tRNA from 1 species